rnacentral:rRNA from 1 species
AGCGCGCGCAGGCGGAUCAGCAAGUCAGGUGUGAAAUCUCGGGGCUCAACCCCGAAACUGCGCCUGAAACUGCUAGUCUAGAAUGUCGGAGGGGGCAGGGAGAAUUUCACGUGUAGGGGUAAAAUCCGUAGAGAUGUGAAGGAACACCGGAGGCGAAGGCGCCUGCCUGGACGACUAUUGACGCUGAGGCGCGAAAGCGUGGGGAGCAAACAGGAUUAGAUACCCUGGUAGUCCACGCCGUAAACGAUGAACACUAGUUAUUGGAGGUAUUGACUCCUUCAGUGACGCAGCUAACGCAUUAAGUGUUUCCGCCUGGGGAGUACGGCCGCAAGGCUAAAACUCAAAACAAUUGACGGGGGCCCGCACAAGCGGUGGAUUAUGUGGUUUAAUUCGAAGCAACGCGCAGAACCUUACCUAGGCUUGAACUCCACAGAAUUCGGGGUAAUGCCUGAAGUGCCCGCAAGGGAAUUGUGAGAGAGGUGCUGCAUGGCUGUCGUCAGCUCGUGUUGUGAAAUGUUGGGUUAAGUCUCGCAACGAGCGCAACCCCUAUCGUCUGUUGCCAGCAUUAAGUUGGGCACUCUGGCGAGACUGCCUGGGUUAACCAGGAGGAAGGUGGGGAUGACGUCAAGUCCUCAUGGCCCUUAUGUCUAGGGCUACACACGUAAUACAAUGGCAUGUACAGAGGGAAGCGAACUCGCGAGGGGGAGCAAAUCUCAAAAAGCAUGUCUCAGUCCGGAUUGGAGUCUGCAACUCGACUCCAUGAAGUUGGAAUCGCUAGUAAUCG